AAACUAGAUACAAGGCGAGCGGCGGACGGGUGAGUAACACGUGGGUAACCUGCCCAAGAGACUGGGAUAACACCUGGAAACAGAUGCUAAUACCGGAUAACAACACUAGACGCAUGUCUAGAGUUUGAAAGAUGGUUCUGCUAUCACUCUUGGAUGGACCUGCGGUGCAUUAGCUAGUUGGUAAGGUAACGGCUUACCAAGGCAAUGAUGCAUAGCCGAGUUGAGAGACUGAUCGGCCACAUUGGGACUGAGACACGGCCCAAACUCCUACGGGAGGCAGCAGUAGGGAAUCUUCCACAAUGGACGAAAGUCUGAUGGAGCAACGCCGCGUGAGUGAAGAAGGGUUUCGGCUCGUAAAGCUCUGUUGGUAGUGAAGAAAGAUAGAGGUAGUAACUGGCCUUUAUUUGACGGUAAUUACUUAGAAAGUCACGGCUAACUACGUGCCAGCAGCCGCGGUAAUACGUAGGUGGCAAGCGUUGUCCGGAUUUAUUGGGCGUAAAGCGAGUGCAGGCGGUUCAAUAAGUCUGAUGUGAAAGCCUUCGGCUCAACCGGAGAAUUGCAUCAGAAACUGUUGAACUUGAGUGCAGAAGAGGAGAGUGGAACUCCAUGUGUAGCGGUGGAAUGCGUAGAUAUAUGGAAGAACACCAGUGGCGAAGGCGGCUCUCUGGUCUGCAACUGACGCUGAGGCUCGAAAGCAUGGGUAGCGAACAGGAUUAGAUACCCUGGUAGUCCAUGCCGUAAACGAUGAGUGCUAA
rnacentral:rRNA from 1 species